rnacentral:rRNA from 1 species
UACGUAGGCAGCGAGCGUUGUUCGGAGUUACUGGGCGUAAAGGGUGUGUAGGCGGUUGUUUAAGUUUGGUGUGAAAUCUCCGGCUCAACUGGGAGGGUGCGCCGAAUACUGAGCGACUAGAGUGCGGGAGAGGAAAGUGGAAUUCCUGGUGUAGCGGUGAAAUGCGUAGAUAUCAGGAGGAACACCGGUGGUGUAGACGGCUUUCUGGACCGUAACUGACGCUGAGACACGAAAGCGUGGGUAGCAAACAGG